rnacentral:rRNA from 1 species
GUAGGUGGCAAGCGUUGUCCGGAAUUAUUGGGGCGUAAAGCGCGCGCAGGCGGUUCUUUAAGUCUGAUGUGAAAGCCCACGGGCUCAACCGUGGAGGGUCAUUGGAAACUGGAGAACUUGAGUACAGAAGAGGAAAGCGGAAUUCCACGUGUAGCGGUGAAAUGCGUAGAGAUGUGGAGGAACACCAGUGGCGAAGGCGGCUUUCUGGUCUGUAACUGACGCUGAGGCGCGAAAGCGUGGGGAGCAAACAGGAUUAGAUACCCUGGUAGUCCACGCCGUAAACGAUGAGUGCUAGGUGUUAGGGGGUUUCCGCCCCUUAGUGCUGCAGCUAACGCAUUAAGCACUCCGCCUGGGGAGUACGGCCGCAAAGGCUG